GCCCCCGUAGCUUAACGGAUAGAGUUCCUGUCUUCGGAACAGGCUGUGGCCGUUCGAUUCGACCCGGGGGCA
rnacentral:tRNA from 1 species